CAAGGACACUUCUUCAUUAUUUUCUUACGCGUUAAGAAAACGGCAUGUCAUCGGGUUCAGUGGGGGCCAAGGAAAAGUCGCCAUAUACGAAAAGAGCAUUGAAAAUGAAGCUUUACACGGUCUCCGUUUGUUUUUUGUUGACAAACAUCACAGGCAACUUGCGCAGAGCACGAAAGAGAUUCCACGCAAUCUUUUUACGAGACUUUUGUGGAAUCUCCGGGUUUUCGCUGUAGUGAGAAUGUGGAUUGUGGGCCAGAUUGUGACGCCAUGUAGUCUAGCAGAUGGAGAAGGAAACGUCGCCAUUUUCGGAGUAGAAGUCGUUUUUAUUUUGAUGACGGAAAGUAUUACAACCUAGAAGAUCGCAUUGUUUGUCAACGCCAUUGGGAAUUCCCGAAACACUUUGUGAACUCCAAGAAAUGAACGUGAAGUUCUGAACCACUUUAAGAGUCGCUUUUCAGACCUAACUCUUCUCAGUGUAGACGGAUCAAAAAUUCAACGACAAUUGCAGUCGGCGAGAAAUACGUGAUGGAAGUUUCGCCUGCGACAAGGAUCCACCCCAGGAUGUCUCAAUGCUGGCACCAGAAAGAAGUUCGUGAAUCACUGAGCUGUGUUAUUGCACAAAGUUUGUCUGUUUGGGCAUACGUAUUGUUUACAGCCCAGAAAUCUUUGCUGUCCGGCAAUGUGCGUCAGUCGCCAUGAACCCGCAGGAGACGGCACGGAGUACGUGGAGUUCCUUGUCGGAGCGAAAUCGGAUACACAGGUCCGAAGACAUUUCAUAUCAACGCAUCCCAAGACGACGACGCCACCAGGACUAUCAUCAACAUGUGCUUGGUGCAAACAGUUGAAGGAGACCGGAAGUGUUAUGCACGUCCGUCCGCGUGUCUGAUGAAAACCCCGGAAGGAUCUUCGUCCGCGGUCCACGAGCUGCAGCAAAUGCCUGUCGUAUUCGACGGAGCGUCCGUCGAAUGCGGUCUUACGAAGGCGUUCGUGUCUGCGUGCUUACGAGUUUUCGGUGGUCCUGAUGACAGGGUAG